rnacentral:rRNA from 1 species
AAUAUGGCACAAGGGGGGAACUCGGAUGCAGCAACGCCGCGUGAGUGAAGAAUGUNUUNNGAUCGNANAACUCUGUCAUAGGGNNNNNAUAAAUGACGGUACCCAAUGAGGAAACUCCGGCUAACUAAGUGCCAGCAGCCGCGGUAAUACGUAGGGGGCGAGCGUUGUCCGGAAUUAAUGGGCGUAAUGGGCGAGUAGGCGGCCAGUUAUGUAAGAUGUGAAAGGCUAGGGCUCAACCCUAACAUGGCAUUUGAAACUGAUUGGCUUGAGAGUAGGAGAGGGAAGUGGAAUUCCUAAUGUAGCGGUGAAAUGCGUAGAUAUUAGGAGGAACACCAGUGGCGAAGGCGACUUCCUGGCCUACAACUGACGCUGAUGCGCGAAAGCGUGGGGAGCAAACA